rnacentral:rRNA from 1 species
AUUGAACGCUGGCGGCAGGCCUAACACAUGCAAGUCGAGCGGAUGAAGGGAGCUUGCUCCUGGAUUCAGCGGCGGACGGGUGAGUAAUGCCUAGGAAUCUGCCUGGUAGUGGGGGAUAACGUCCGGAAACGGGCGCUAAUACCGCAUACGUCCUGAGGGAGAAAGUGGGGGAUCUUCGGACCUCACGCUAUCAGAUGAGCCUAGGUCGGAUUAGCUAGUUGGUGGGGUAAAGGCCUACCAAGGCGACGAUCCGUAACUGGUCUGAGAGGAUGAUCAGUCACACUGGAACUGAGACACGGUCCAGAGUCCUACGGGAGGCAGCAGUGGGGAAUAUUGGACAAUGGGCGAAAGCCUGAUCCAGCCAUGCCGCGUGUGUGAAGAAGGUCUUCGGAUUGUAAGGCACUUUAAGUUGGGAGGAAGGGCAGUAAGUUAAUACCUUGCUGUUUUGACGUUACCAACAGAAUAAGCACCGGCUAACUUCGUG